GGCAGAAACCAGUCAGGUGAGGGUCACGACCUGAGUGGUAAAGUAGCUUCAUGGGGAGCAGGUGUGCAAGAGGGCAGACUCAGAAAAUGCUGGUUCUUUGUGUGCCGUGCCCUUCUUGUUCCUGGGACUGACUGUUCUGUACACUUGUUUUCAAGAGUCAUUAAAAAUUGAACGCCUGUGGAACUUGUUAAAUGUCUAAGUGUUUUUAGAGUUAUGUAGUGACAGACAGAGUGAGUGCUGAGCACCUCAGCUUUGGAAGUCUUAAAGGAUUGUUGGAAACUGUGGAGCUGACUAUGGUGAGACUGGUUUGGUUACUGGGAGUCCACUCAGUUACAGUGUUGGUUUUUGGCUAGCAUUGUUCUUUUCAAAGGUGGCAAAAUCCCACUCUUGCUCCUAGGUUAACAGUGACAUCAGCUCUGAAGUGGUCCAGAGGCUCAUUAAAUCAGAGGAAACAGGCUCCUCUGGAUGGACUGAUUAAAUAAGACGUAACUACCAACUGAGACCAGGAAAAGGUUCACUAAGCUCAUAGAAGGAAGCCAAAGAGGUUUCCCACAGACUUCCCUGCAAUCUCUGUUGUUUUUGUAAUCUGAGGAGUCGCCCCCUGCUGGCUAUUAAGAACACUACACAUUUAAGAUGCUUCCACAGUGAAUAAAACUGACAUUUCCAUUCACAGAUAUAUUUAGUUGUUUUUAAUGCUAAUUAUGUCUCUUGAACAAUGUUGCUGAUCUGAGCUGAACUUCUAAAUGUAAUUAUUACUUUUUCUGUGUUGUUAGCAUUGUUGUAGACUGUUCUCGCUGGCUUUAAUUUUAUGCUCUAACAAUUGAAAACAGACAUAACGGUAAAAUUUUUAUGCUGCACAUUUUACCCUUGAUAUGAUAUUGACAUGAUGAAAUUUCUGCAAUAAUUCUGUAUCUUUACUACAUUCUUGCUGCAAAUACAGAAUAAAUGUGACUUUUCCUGCAGUGUGA